UACAGAGGUGGCAAGCGUUGUUCGGAAUUACUGGGCGUAAAGGGCGCGUAGGCGGUUCGUUAAGUCCUGUGUGAAAUCCCCCGGCUCAACUGGGGAACUGCACAGGAAACUAGCGGGCUUGAGUUCGGGAGAGGGAAGCGGAAUUCCGGGUGUAGCGGUGAAAUGCGUAGAUAUCCGGAGGAACGCCGGUGGCGCAAGCGGCCACCUGGGUCUGACCUGACGCUGAGGUGCGAAAGCGUGGGGAGCAAACCGG
rnacentral:rRNA from 1 species